rnacentral:rRNA from 1 species
GUACACUCCUACGGGAGGCAGCAGUGGGGAAUUUUGGACAAUGGGCGAAAGCCUGAUCCAGCAAUGCCGCGUGAGUGAAGAAGGCCUUCGGGUUGUAAAGCUCUUUUGUCAGGGAAGAAACGGUGAGAGCUAAUAUCUUUUGCUAAUGACGGUACCUGAAGAAUAAGCACCGGCUAACUACGUGCCAGCAGCCGCGGUAAUACGUAGGGUGCAAGCGUUAAUCGGAAUUACUGGGCGUAAAGCGUGCGCAGGCGGUUUUGUAAGUCUGAUGUGAAAUCCCCGGGCUCAACCUGGGAAUUGCAUUGGAGACUGCAAGGCUAGAAUCUGGCAGAGGGGGGUAGAAUUCCACGUGUAGCAGUGAAAUGCGUAGAUAUGUGGAGGAACAUCGAUGGCGAAGGCAGCCCCCUGGGUCAAGAUUGACGCUCAUGCACGAAAGCGUGGGGAGCAAACAGGAUUAGAAACCCCUGUAGUCCCA